AACUGAGAGAGUUUGAUCCCAGCUCAGGAUGAACGCUAGCGGUGCGCUUAACACAUGCAAGUCGUGCGAUCGAACCAGACGGAUUUCCCUUCGGGGUCUGAAGGCUGGUCACGGAGCGGCGAACUGGUGAGUAACACGUGGCUAACCUGCCCUCUUGACGGGGACAACCUACCGAAAGGGAGGCUAAUACCCGAUGUUGUGCGGAGUCUAUGGCUCCGCUCCAAAGACGGUCCUGCCGUCGCAAGGGGAGGGGGCUGCGUCCUAUUAGCUUGUUGGUAGGGUAAUGGCCUACCAAGGCGAUAAUGGGUAGCUGGUCUGAGAGGACGAUCAGCCACAUUGGGACUGAGAUACGGCCCAGACUCCUACGGGAGGCAGCAGUGGGGAAUAUUGGACAAUGGACGAAAGUCCGAUCCAGCGACACCGCGUGGGGGAUGAAGGCUUUCGGGUC
rnacentral:rRNA from 1 species